UACGGAGGGUGCGAGCGUUAAUCGGAAUUACUGGGCGUAAAGCGUGCGUAGGCGGUUUCUUAAGUCAGAUGCGAAAGCCCCGGGCUUAACCUGGGAACGGCAUUUGAUACUGGGUAACUUGAGUUUGGGAGAGGCAAGUGGAAUUUCAGGUGUAGCGGUGAAAUGCGUAGAUAUCUGAAGGAACACCAGUGGCGAAGGCGACUUGCUGGCCUAAAACUGACGCUGAGGCACGAAAGCAUGGGGAGCAAACAGG
rnacentral:rRNA from 1 species